rnacentral:rRNA from 1 species
GAAAUGACUCUCGGCAACGGAUAUCUCGGCUCUCGCAUCGAUGAAGAACGCAGCAAAAUGCGAUACCUGGUGUGAAUUGCAGAAUCCCGUGAACCAUUGAGUUUUUGAACGCAAGUUGCGCCCGAGGUCUUCUGGCCGAGGGCACGCCUGCCUGGGCGUCACGUC